CCUACGGAGGCUGCAGUAGGGAAGAGUGCUCAAGGGGGGAAACCCGGAAGCAGCAACGCCGCGUGGAGGAGGAAGGGUUUCGGAUUGUAAACUCCUUUUGUGAGAGAAGAUAAUGACGGUAUCUAACGAAUAAGCACCGGCGAACUCCGUGCCAGCAGCCGCGGGAAUACGGAGGGUGCAAGCGUUACUCGGAAUCACUGGGCGUAAAGAGCGCGUAGGCGGGAUAGCAAGUCAGAUGUGAAAUCCUAUGGCUUAACCAUAGAACUGCAUUUGAAACUGUUAUUCUAGAGUAUGGGAGAGGUAGGUGGAAUUCUUGGUGUAGGGGUCAAAUCCGUAGAGAUCACGAGGAAUACUCAUUGCGAAGGCGACCUGCUAGAACAUACCUGACGCUGAUGCGC
rnacentral:rRNA from 1 species